AUAAUACUGAGACACUGGUAUUUUUCACUCUUCCUCUCUCAGUAGAUGGGGCCACUUUCCAGAGGCUGCGUGACUGGCAACAUCACACAGAUGGGAUGUAGAAACAAACACAGGAAUCUAGCUGUCCUAUGAAGCCAGACAUUCCAAGCACUUCCCACGAGACAUGCACAGUCAAGCCCCUCCCGGAGCCUGUGUUCGGAGGUAUGAGAUGAG
rnacentral:lncRNA from 1 species